rnacentral:miRNA from 1 species
UGUCUCUGAUUUUACACAGAAGACUCAGCCGCAUAAAGAAAAAUGGGCCCCAGCACUUGGGAGGCUGAGGCAGGAGGAU